UACGUAGGGCGCAAGCGUUGUCCGGAAUUAUUGGGCGUAAAGAGCGCGUAGGCGGUCCGGUAAGUCGGUUGUGAAAGUCGGGGGGCUCAACCCUCGGAUGCCGAUCGAUACUGUCGGGCUAGAGUCCGGAAGAGGCGAGUGGAAUUCCUGGUGUAGCGGUGGAAUGCGCAGAUAUCAGGAGGAACACCAAUGGCGAAGGCAGCUCGCUGGGACGGUACUGACGCUAAGGCGCGAAAGCGUGGGGAGCAAACAGG
rnacentral:rRNA from 1 species